rnacentral:lncRNA from 1 species
UUCUUGGACGAAUCUGGACAGGGAAGCAAGGAGAAAUAAUAUGGUCCAAAAUUGGACCAUAUAACAUUUUUACAGCCGACCUCCAGAGCCUGGCCCCCGGGAAGGAGCUGGAGAGUGAGAUUACACUAACAUAUCCGAUCUGUAAAAGGCCAUGUAUCCAAAAGAAGGACGGGCCGUUUUUAUUGUCCCCUUCGGUGCCACCCCCGCUAAAAUUCAGAAAUGCAAAGAUUCAACGAGGUUUGUCUUCAGGGCUUUCAUGCGGAAAAAAAAUGGGGAAUCUGUCACGGUGGCUGUGCGCCACAAUUCCCCAUCCCCGCCAGCAAGACCUUACCUCCUGUGGCGUUAUUGUUUGCAAAGUAAGAUUAUGAACACAAUAACAAUUAUACAUCUAUUAAAAGGACCA